UUUGACUCUGAGAUAGCACGGGGAGAACUCUUUGAGUUAAAACUGUGGAAAGACGGCGCGUUCGCCUUUCAAGAAGAGCCGAUUUUUGCAGCCCUCCCACCAGCAGGACCGGGAGCGACGGCAAGGGAUUGGCAUCACAUACCAGCUGAGUUACCGCUCGCUCUAGAGAGUUUCCAUCUGAUCGGGACAGAGUUUUGCUUUCUGCCCACACACACACACACACACAGCCCUGGCUUGUCACUGCUGAUUCACCCCCAAAGUACCAGCAGCUGGGCAGUAUCUGCUCCACGUUGUCCCAUUGCCCCCACCAGCAAAACAAGACAGAAAAGAAAUUGCCUUUGCAACAGCAACUUUUGAUGGCAUUUAGGUUCCUGAAUCUUUCAGGGUGCCAGUGCACAGCUGGGAUCAGAUCAACGAGCCUGCUUCCCAGUGUCAGCCCUGCCCUCAGCCCGUGGUGGGACCCUGCCAGCCUCUAAAACACAGACUUAGGAAGAAGAAAUCGGGGAAACAAACCCUGCAGUUUUGUUGCGUGCAUUUCCCCACAUCCUGGGAGCCAGUAUAAUUUUGCCGCUGAUGAGAUAGAACAGAGAGCUCCGGUGCCAUCGAACCGGUACAGAGCAUCUCCAGCUUCUGCCCCUCAGCCCCACCAGAGUGGGACCCAAGCCGUGAACGCAGCACAUGCAGGAGACACAAACGUGGCUGUGGGACACAUGCAAAGCCCUGGCAGCACAGCCACCAGUGAAAGCCCUGAGCCACGCUGGGACCUCGCUUCCCUGGCGGCUGCUGGAUGCAGUACACAGGGAUGCGUUCCCAGCGGUGCCCAGGAGCUACAGCUGGCUUGGAAAAUGCCCGUACGGACAUGCAUGGGGAUGUACUUCAGGAACUGGGACAAAUUCAGAAGAUCCUCAUUCACAUGCCGUAAAGGAGAAGACGGAAUGAAGUUUCUAGCCAAAACCAGGGAACCAAAGGAACCAGCUGACAAUAGUGGGAUCAGCAGGGGCACUGCAAAGACUCCAGAAAACCCCAGACCAGGUUGUAUCCGGCAGUGGGACUGGACAGGCACAGGCAAAGCUCAGGGCUCUUGUUGGAUCUAAUCAACAAAUAAUCAAAGAAUAAUCUGCUAUAAUCUGCUUCUGAGAACGCAGAGCAGAUCUGCUCCUGAGGCCUUUAGUGGAAACAAACUCUUCUGGUCCCCCCUCACCUGGCACAGCACAACAUGGUGCCCAAGAGAGGACUGCUGGUCUGGGCUCUCCCUUCUUAGACUUUCAAACCUUAAAAUAAAUUUGCCCAGCCUGGG